rnacentral:rRNA from 1 species
CCUACGGGAGGCAGCAGUGAGGAAUUUUCCGCAAUGGGCGAAAGCCUGACGGAGCAAUGCCACGUGGAGGAGGAAGGCCUGUGGGUCGUAAACUCCUUUUCUCAGAGAAGAAGUUCUGACGGUAUCUGAGGAAUAAGCAUCGGCUAACUCUGUGCCAGCAGCCGCGGUAAUACAGGGGAUGCAAGCGUUAUCCGGAAUUAUUGGGCGUAAAGCGUCCUGAGGUGGCUUACCCAGUCGACUGUGAAAGCUCAAGGCUUAACCUUGAAACGGCAGUCGAAACUUGUAAGCUUGAGUACGGUAGGGGCAGAGGGAAUUCCCGGAGGAGAGGUGAAAUUCGUAGAUAUCGGGAGAAGGCCAAAGGCGAAAGCACUCUGCUGGGCCGAUUACUGACACUGACAGACGAAAGCUAGGGGAGCGAAAGGGAUUAGAUACCCCUGUAGUCCUAGCCGUAAACGAUGGAUACUAAGUGUUGCGCGACUCAAAACGUGCAGUGCUGCAGCUAACGCGGUAAGUAUCCCGCCUGGGGAGUAUGCCCGCAAGGGUGAAACUCAAAUGAAUUGACGGCUGAGACGNGCGAGACGACACGAGGGAGAGG